rnacentral:rRNA from 1 species
UACAGAGGGGGCAAGCGUUGUUCGGAAUUACUGGGCGUAAAGGGCGCGUAGGCGGCCUGCUAAGUCGAACGUGAAAUCCCUGGGCUCAACCCAGGAACUGCGUCCGAUACUGGUUGGCUUGAAUCCGGGAGAGGGAUGUGGAAUUCCAGGUGUAGCGGUGAAAUGCGUAGAGAUCAGCAGGAACACCCGUGGCGAAGGCGGCCCCCUGGGCCGUACCUGACGCUGAGGCGCGAAGGCUAGGGGAGCGAACGGG